CUUAGAGUAAAUAACGAAGAGAUCUUUUAUUCAUUCUCUUCCUCCCCAGACCUUCGCCACCAUCACUACACUGUCUCCAUCUAUCUCUCCGGCACUUUCAGUUCUCUCUCCGGCACUUCCCGUUCAAUCACCAACAUAAUCACGAGCCGACUGUAUUUAUGCUUUCAAAUAUAUACCAUCACUAGGUCAAGAAUUUGGUUAAUUGUGGGGCUGUUUUUUCUUGGGCUAUUGAAUUUGCUCAAAUUAUUGGCUCUGAUUUGAGAUGAUUGUUGAAUUUGUUGAUUGAUGAAUUUACUUGGUUUGCUGUUGAUUGGAGUCUGAGAUGAUUGUUUGGUGGAAUUUAAAGAUGAGAGAAACAAUGGAUUCUAGGGUUCUAUUAUGACUGAGGAAUUGAUUGAUGAUGUUGUCGAGAAGAACAAUGGAUUUGGUUCUAUUGUGGUCAGUGAAGAUUUGGGGAUUCGUGGUUUCUUUCAUGAACAAAAAUCAGGGAAAGAAUAAGGGAAUGGUGCUUGUCAUGGGUAUGAGAAUGGCAGAGUUUGAAGUGAAAGACAGAGCUAUUGGUGAAGACUCCUUCGCUUCAUUAAUCUCCAAAUGAUGUGAAUUCUUUCUGAUUCAAUCUUUUCAGUGAUUGUUAAUGUUUGAUUUCAAUUAAAGUGAUUGGGGUAUUCUUGUAAACUCAUAAUUUUAGAGUAUUUUUAUUUUAUAAAACUAA